rnacentral:lncRNA from 1 species
CUAGUGACACUGUGACAUCUGUGCGCGACUGUUUGUGUGAAAUCUCUUCUCAGUUGCUCUGGAUGCCGCCCAGGAGCACAGGUGCUGGAAAGUAUGUAAUUCUGUCCCACUCUCAGAGGACCCACAAGCCAGGACGUGGGCCACACCCAGGAUCCCUGAUAUGCUUCUUGUCCCAAACAGUGUCCCCAGUCUCCAGUACUGCAUCCCAUAGCUGUGACUUUG